GAUGAAGAACGUAUCAAAAUGCGAUAAGUAAUGUGAAUUGCAGAAUUCAGUGAAUCAUCGAAUCUUUGAACGCACAUUGCGCCCGCUGGUAUUCCGGCGGGCAUGCCUGUUCGAGCGUCAUUUCAACCCUCAAGCCCCCGGGUUUGGUGUUGGGGAUCGGCUCUGCCCUCUGGGCGGUGCCGCCCCCGAAAUACAUUGGCGGUCUCGCUGCAGCCUCCAUUGCGUAGUAGCUAACACCUCGCAACUGGAACGCGGCGCGGCCAUGCCGUAAAACCCCAACUUCUGAAUGUUGACCUCGGAUCAGGUAGGAAUACCCGCUGAACUUAAGCAUAUCAAUAAGCGGAGGA
rnacentral:misc_RNA from 1 species